rnacentral:misc_RNA from 1 species
UUUCCGUAGGUGAACCUGCGGAAGGAUCAUUGUCGAAACCUGCCCAGCAGAACGACCCGCGAACUUGUAUAAACAACCGGGGGCGGGGGGCGUUCUCGCCCCGUGCCCCCGAACGGCGGGGAGACACUCGUGCCUUCUUGCCGAACAACGAACCCCGGCGCGGUCUGCGCCAAGGAACUUCAACUAAAGAGUGCCUCCGGUCGCCUCGGAAACGGCGUGCGUGCCGGGGGCGAAUCUUGUGCAAAACCAUAACGACUCUCGGCAACGGAUAUCUCGGCUCUCGCGUCGAUGAAAAACGCAGC